rnacentral:rRNA from 1 species
UCCGUAGGGUGCGAGCUUUGUCCGGAAUUAUUGGGCGUAAAGAGCUCGUAGGCGGUGUGUCGCGUCGCUCGUGAAAACUUGGGGCUUAACCCUGAGCUUGCGGUCGAUACGGGCAUCACUGGAGUUCGGCAGGGGAGACUGGAAUUCCUGGUGUAGCGGUGAAAUGCGUAGAUAUCGUCAGGAACGCCGGUGGUGAAGACGGGUGACUGGGCUAGUUCUGACACUGAGGCACGAAAGCGUGGGGAGCGAACGGG